rnacentral:rRNA from 1 species
GAUGAACGCUAGCUACAGGCUUAACACAUGCAAGUCGAGGGGCAGCAUGGUCUUAGCUUGCUAAGGCCGUAUGGCGACCGGCGCACGGGUGAGUAACACGUAUCCAACCUGCCGUCUACUCUUGGACAGCCUUCUGAAAAGGAAGAAUUAAUACAAGAUGGCAUCAUGAGUCCACAUGUUCACAUGAUUAAAGGUAUUCCGGUAGACGAAUGGGGAUGCGUUCCAUUAGAUAGUAGGCGGGGUAAUGGCCCACCUAGUCUUCGAUGGAUAGGGGUUCUGAGAGGAAAGGUCCCCCACAUUGGAACUGAGACACGGUCCAAACUCCUACGGGAGGCAGCAGUGAGGAAUAUUGGUCAAUGGGCGAGAGCCUGAACCAGCCAAGUAGCGUGAAGGAAUGACUGCCCUAUGGGUUGUAAACUUCUUUUAUAAAGGAAAUAAAGUCGGGUAUGCAUACCCGUUUUGCAUGUACUUUUAUGAAAUAAGGAUCGGCUAACUCCGUGCCAGCAGCCGCGGUAAUACGGAGGAUCCGAGCGUUAUCCGGAUUUAUUGGGUUUAAAAGGGAGCGUAGAUGGAUGUUUAAGUCAGUUGUGAAAGUUUGCGGCUCAACCGUAAAAUUGCAGUUGAUACUGGAUAUCUUGAGUGCAGUUGAGGCAGGCGGAAUUCGUGGUGUAGCGGUGAAAUGCUUAGAUAUCACGAAGAACUCCGAUUGCGAAGGCAGCCUGCUAAGCUGCAACUGACAUUGAGGCUCGAAAGUGUGGGUAUCAAACAGGAUUAGAUACCCUGGUAGUCCACACGGUAAACGAUGAAUACUCGCUGUUUGCGAUAUACAGCAAGCGGCCAAGCGAAAGCGUUAAGUAUUCCACCUGGGGAGUACGCCGGCAACGGUGAAACUCAAAGGAAUUGACGGGGGCCCGCACAAGCGGAGGAACAUGUGGUUUAAUUCGAUGAUACGCGAGGAACCUUACCCGGGCUUAAAUUGCAGAUGAAUUACGGUGAAAGCCGUAAGCCGCAAGGCAUCUGUGAAGGUGCUGCAUGGUUGUCGUCAGCUCGUGCCGUGAGGUGUCGGCUUAAGUGCCAUAACGAGCGCAACCCUUGUUGUCAGUUACUAACAGGUUCCGCUGAGGACUCUGACAAGACUGCCAUCGUAAGAUGUGAGGAAGGUGGGGAUGACGUCAAAUCAGCACGGCCCUUACGUCCGGGGCUACACACGUGUUACAAUGGGGGGUACAGAGGGCCGCUACCACGCGAGUGGAUGCCAAUCCCAAAAACCUCUCUCAGUUCGGACUGGAGUCUGCAACCCGACUCCACGAAGCUGGAUUCGCUAGUAAUCGCGCAUCAGCCACGGCGCGGUGAAUACGUUCCCGGGCCU